ACGCUCGACACCUACGGAGGCAGCAGUGGGGAAUAUUGCACAAUGGGGGAAACCCUGAUGCAGCGACGCCGCGUGAGUGAAGAAGUAUUUCGGUAUGUAAAGCUCUAUCAGCAGGGAANAAAAUGACGGUACCUGACUAAGAAGCCCCGGCUAACUACGUGCCAGCAGCCGCGGUAAUCUGAGCGGGCUGGCAAGGC
rnacentral:rRNA from 1 species